rnacentral:rRNA from 1 species
AUUGAACGCUGGCGGCAGGCCUAACACAUGCAAGUCGAACGAGUGGCGGACUGGUGAGCAAUUUCUGGGAACCUGCCUGAUGUACGGGUCUAACUACUGUAACCGGUAGCUAAUACCGCUUACCACCAUAUGUGCCCAGAUGGGAUUAGCUUGGUGGUGAGGUAACGGCUCACAAAGGCGACGCUGCCUAGCUGGUCUGAGAGGAUGACCAGCCACACUGGGACUGAGACACGGCCCAGACUCCUACGGGAGGCAGCAGUGGGGAAUAUUGGGCAAUGGGCGAAAGGCUGAUGGAGCCACGCCGCGUGAGUGAAGAAGGCUUUCGGGUUGUAAAGCACUGUCAGCGGGGAGGCGGUACCCAAAGAGGAAGCAACGGCUAACUACGUGCCAGCAGCCGCGGUAAUAC